rnacentral:rRNA from 1 species
GGACCUCCGAUCCAGUAAGA